rnacentral:tRNA from 1 species
GCUCCUUUAGCUCAGUGGUAGAGCGGGCGAUUGCAGAUCGCCAGGUCGAUUGUUCGAUCCAGUCAGGGAGCU